rnacentral:rRNA from 1 species
UGAACGCUAGCGGCAGGCUUAACACAUGCAAGUCGAGGGGUAUGCCGAUUUAUCGGCAGAGACCGGCGCACGGGUGCGUAACGCGUAUGCAAUCUACCUUUCACAGAGGGAUAGCCCAGAGAAAUUUGGAUUAAUACCUCAUAGUAUAGCAAUUUCGCAUGAAACCACUAUUAAAGUUCCAACGGUGAAAGAUGAGCAUGCGUCCCAUUAGCUAGAUGGUAAGGUAACGGCUUACCAUGGCUACGAUGGGUAGGGGUCCUGAGAGGGAGAUCCCCCACACUGGUACUGAGACACGGACCAGACUCCUACGGGAGGCAGCAGUGAGGAAUAUUGGUCAAUGGGCGCAAGCCUGAACCAGCCAUGCCGCGUGCAGGAAGAAGCAUCUAUGGUGUGUAAACUGCUUUUGUACGGGAAGAAACACUCCUACGUGUAGGAGCUUGACGGUACCGUAAGAAUAAGGAUCGGCUAACUCCGUG